rnacentral:tRNA from 1 species
GAGAUAAAUAAAAUAGAAUUUCUAAUUCUAAAUAAAAUAUUUAGUUAUUUUUAUCUCU